rnacentral:lncRNA from 1 species
GGGGCAAGUAUGGACACAACAUUUAAGCUGGAUUCAGCUCUAAAUUUGGAUUGUGAUUAAAUAGUUUACACAGCAUAGGUUUCUGACACAGAAUGAAUGUGGUCUAAUGAACUUAAAAUAUUUUUUUUGCCUUUGAGCAAGUCACUAUGCUGUUAAAUAUUAAUCCUCUCAAAAAAAUGUUUGAAGAAAUUUUCUUUUUAUUUAUGAAAUCUGAAAUGAGAAAAAUUUAACCCCCCUUCCCCCAUUUUUUUUUCACAUCCCCCUUUCCCUUUUUCCAAAACUGAUCUCAAUUCAAAUUCCUAAUGGAGUUUGCAACAAUAACUACUCAUUUAAAUACAUCAUAAAAUAUUAAAAUGUAAAAUAAAGUGC